GUUCUCUCUUUGGCAGCAUGUAUAUUAAAAAUUGGAAUGAUACAGAGAUUACCACGGCCCUUGCCCAAGGAUGACACAAAUUCAUGAAACAUUCCAUAUUUAA